rnacentral:tRNA from 1 species
AUUUAUAUAGUUUAAUAAAACAUUACAUUUUCAUUGUAAAAUUAAAGAAUCUUCUUUUAUAAAUU